rfam:Hordeum vulgare subsp. vulgare, WGS project CAJW01000000 data, contig: morex_contig_1890603
UUUGUACCCCUCCGUCCGGAAAUACUUGUCCAAGAAAUGAAUAAAAUGGAUGCAUCUAUAACUAAUAUAAAUCUAGAUACAUGCAUUUCUAAGACAAGUAUUUCCGGACGGAGGGAGUACUAA